rnacentral:lncRNA from 1 species
GCAGAGCUGCAUGCUGGGUGCGGGAAGAGUACCAGGAUUCUUUGGGCGGUGAGUGCCAGAGGGCCCCAGUCACCCAGAACCCCCACCCCGAGUCAAAGCGCUGAAAUGAGCCCCGCGGCAGGGGCCGUGUUCAUUACCUUUGAAAAUGCUCAGUUCUUCUUCGGUCCAGGGCGGGGCAGAAGGGAGGAUGCAGAGGGAGAAACAGGAUGAACUCAAACACAGGAGAUAGGAGAUGAUUUGGAUGAAGUGAUAAAGAAAAGGCUUCACUCCAAGAAAAAAAAGAAAAAGAAAAGAAAAUGAAAAGACCUGCAGGAGCAAGAAGCCCUUUCCAGGGUGUGCUUAUGAGGAAGAAGGGAAUUAUGGUGAUAGCUACCACUUAAGCACUUACCUUGUUCCAGGUGCAAUAACGGUGUUUUACAGGCAUUAUUUUAUUUAGUCCCCCAAAAUAAAGCUAUUACGUACCUUUUUAUCAUUACCCCUAAUAAAACUAAUGAUUAGACUGUUUAAAAACCUACCUGGGUCAUACGGACAGUUACCAGUGGACCCAAGAUUCAAACCUUUGUAUUUCAGAGUCCAGAAUAUAUAUUUUUACCCCUACUUUGUAGGAUAAGAAAAUGCAGCCCAGUCAACCAGCCAAGGUCUACCAUUUGCUAUAGGACACGAGAUGACCAAGGUUUCACAUAAUAAUGCUGUGGAGGAGUGGGAAGGUUGAGUGGAGGAAGGGAUAUCUGCCUCCAACCACGCUAGACCCGACCUGCUGUCACCGCCCGCCCCAGCUGGAUCCAGAAUGGAAACCUGGAAUAGCAGGCAAAGCCACCCCCGACACUCCAUGUUCCUCCCCAGAACCAGCUCCCUCUCCUACCAGCUGAAUUUUCAGGACAGAGCUGCCAGGUGGCCAGUCCACAGGUGGAAGUGGAAGGAGAUUGAAAGGACCUGGGAAGAGGUUCAUUGGUCAUGGUGCCUGGCUGGUGCUUUCCAAAGCCAAGGUUGCUGGUGUGUGCCUGACAGUUCCAUAGGAAGUAGGGACUUCUGGGAGGGAGGAGGAGGUGGAAGGUGCCCUGGUCAGCAAAGUGGGGUCCAAGCCUUCUAGUCCCAACUGGGCACAUCACUUCAUCUCUGAGAGUCUCAUUUUCUUCAGCCACAACUAAUGAACAAAGUCUCCUUCAGCUCCCAAAUCCGAAUAGCUUUAAGGAUAUCCCCUGCUUGCUGCUUGUUAUUAUGUCAGGCCCUGUGCUAAGCGCUUUGCAUAUAUUACCUCAUUUAAUCCCCAUUUUGGAAGUCAGGAAACAGCCUCUGAGACAUUUUGUAACUUAGCUAAGGUCACUCAGUUGACAAAUAGUGAAGUGAUGGGAUUCAGUAGCCUCUGCUGCUAGCCACUGCCUCAGGGCAGGUAAUUAUUUCUAUGAAUUCAGCAGGGCCAAGCCAACUAGACUAAGCAAAAGAAAUGAGGAUCCAAAAAAAUUCAUGCGCUUUUUCAUGCGCGGUGAAUGCAGGAAAAGUCAUAUAUAUAUAUGGCUAUGUAAAUCAGCAACUGCAAUAUUUGAAUCAGCAUGAAUAAAAAACCAUUCCUCUGUCUCUUAAAAAAAUAGGCAGAUCUGUUUUCUUCUUCCUCAUUUCUAUCUGAGCCUCUGUACCAAGGAGAAACGGGAAUAAGACAGGACUAGAUUCUUCCCAAACACCAGGUGAUGCGGUCAGUGAGGAGAGCUCCAGAAUCAAAAGAUGAAGAAGGACCUGCCUCUAGCCCCCAAGAGGUAUGCUGUUCUUCCCACACAUCUCAGCUCUCUCCCAGCACUGAGUCCAGCCCUCCACAGAAAGGGGAGGAAAAUGCCCACCCCUAGCCCUGCCCUUCCCCAACCCUCCACACAUCACUCCUUCUUCUUCCUGCCCUCCUGCACAGUCUGAUAAUGGUGCUCUCUCUUGCUCAGCCCUUUAGCCCUGCAGACCUAGGACAGGGCAUGACUUGGGAAGGCUCCUGUGCACAGGGUGCACUGGAGGAGGUGCCCCAGGCCCUGGGCCAUGGAGAUAAUUGUGUAUCUGCUUCUCUUUUACCUUUUGGGUGGGUAGCCUCUCCUUUUUUAAGGGACACUGACUUCAACCAUGUCUACUAAUCCCUCAGUAUGGCUCCCUGGGCACUCAAGAGCAACAGUUCCAGGCAGGGACCCCCACAUCCUACUCUAAUUACUACUGCAGACACAGAGGAGACCAAUUCCAUUCCUUCCCUGGCCUCUUGGAUUCUUUGUUUACUCACCUCUUUCCA